CUGGCGGCGUGCCUAAUACAUGCAAGUCGAGCGAACAGAUAAGGAGCUUGCUCCUUUGACGUUAGCGGCGGACGGGUGAGUAACACGUGGGUAACCUACCUAUAAGACUGGGAUAACUUCGGGAAACCGGAGCUAAUACCGGAUAACAUUUGGAACCGCAUGGUUCUAAAGUGAAAGAUGGUUUUGCUAUCACUUAUAGAUGGACCCGCGCCGUAUUAGCUAGUUGGUAAGGUAACGGCUUACCAAGGCGACGAUACGUAGCCGACCUGAGAGGGUGAUCGGCCACACUGGAACUGAGACACGGUCCAGACUCCUACGGGAGGCAGCAGUAGGGAAUCUUCCGCAAUGGGCGAAAGCCUGACGGAGCAACGCCGCGUGAGUGAUGAAGGGUUUCGGCUCGUAAAACUCUGUUAUUAGGGAAGAACAAACGUGUAAGUAACUGUGCACGUCUUGACGGUACCUAAUCAGAAAGCCACGGCUAACUACGUGCCAGCAGCCGCGGUAAUACGUAGGUGGCAAGCGUUAUCCGGAAUUAUUGGGCGUAAAGCGCGCGUAGGCGGUUUCUUAAGUCUGAUGUGAAAGCCCACGGCUCAACCGUGGAGGGUCAUUGGAAACUGGGAAACUUGAGUGCAGAAGAGGAAAGUGGAAUUCCAUGUGUAGCGGUGAAAUGCGCAGAGAUAUGGAGGAACACCAGUGGCGAAGGCGACUUUCUGGUCUGUAACUGACGCUGAUGUGCGAAAGCGUGGGGAUCAAACAGGAUUAGAUACCCUGGUAGUCCACGCCGUAAACGAUGAGUGCUAAGUGUUAGGGGGUUUCCGCCCCUUAGUGCUGCAGCUAACGCAUUAAGCACUCCGCCUGGGGAGUACGACCGCAAGGUUGAAACUCAAAGGAAUUGACGGGGACCCGCACAAGCGGUGGAGCAUGUGGUUUAAUUCGAAGCAACGCGAAGAACCUUACCAAAUCUUGACAUCCUUUGAAAACUCUAGAGAUAGAGCCUUCCCCUUCGGGGGACAAAGUGACAGGUGGUGCAUGGUUGUCGUCAGCUCGUGUCGUGAGAUGUUGGGUUAAGUCCCGCAACGAGCGCAACCCUUAAGCUUAGUUGCCAUCAUUAAGUUGGGCACUCUAGGUUGACUGCCGGUGACAAACCGGAGGAAGGUGGGGAUGACGUCAAAUCAUCAUGCCCCUUAUGAUUUGGGCUACACACGUGCUACAAUGGACAAUACAAAGGGCAGCUAAACCGCGAGGUCAUGCAAAUCCCAUAAAGUUGUUCUCAGUUCGGAUUGUAGUCUGCAACUCGACUACAUGAAGCUGGAAUCGCUAGUAAUCGUAGAUCAGCAUGCUACGGUGAAUACGUUCCCCGGGUCUUGUACACACCGCCCGU
rnacentral:rRNA from 2 species